CCUACGGGAGGCAGCAGUGGGGAAUUUUGGACAAUGGGCGCAAGCCUGAUCCAGCAAUGCCGCGUGAGUGAAGAAGGCCUUCGGGUUGUAAAGCUCUUUUGUCAGGGAAGAAACGGGCGAGGCUAAUAUCCUCGUCUAAUGACGGUACCUGAAGAAUAAGCACCGGCUAACUACGUGCCAGCAGCCGCGGUAAUACGUAGGGUGCAAGCGUUAAAUCGGAAUUACUGGGCGUAAAGCGUGCGCAGGCGGUUUUGUAAGUCUGUCGUGAAAUCCCCGGGCUCAACCUGGGAAUGGCGAUGGAGACUGCAAGGCUAGAAUCUGGCAGAGGGGGGUAGAAUUCCACGUGUAGCAGUGAAAUGCGUAGAGAUGUGGAGGAACACCGAUGGCGAAGGCAGCCCCCUGGGUCAAGAUUGACGNUCAUGCACGAAAGCGUGGGGAGCAAACGAGGUAUUAGACUACCCGUGGUACGUCCACGCCCUAAACGAUGUCUACUAGUUGUCGGUACUUAAUUGACUUAGUACGUCAGCGUACGCGUGAGUAGACCG
rnacentral:rRNA from 1 species